AGGGCAGAAUUGAGUAGGGUGCCUAUUAGGCGCCCACAGAGCUGAACUUUUCAAAGACUUCUAUAUUUUACUCCCUUCAUAAACAUCAGAAACUGACAACAGCAGGAUGAAGAAGCAGUGGAAAUGGCUAUGGCCCAUCCUGGUGGCUGCGAUUUUGGUUGCGUCACAAGAUGCCCCAACGAUCACCCCAACCAAAGUUCCUUCUACGACAAAGAUGAUCACCCCAACCAAAGUUCCUUCUACCCCAAAGGUGCCCACUGCAAAGGGAACGACCACCGCAAAGUACAAUGCAACACCAUCACACGUUAAUUCCACCACAUCACAUGGCAAUCUUCCUGUUGCUAGCAUCCCGUUUCUCUUCACUCUUUUAACUUGGUGGGGUGGGGGGUUUCUGUCUGUGAAUAUCAUCUUUCAAACAGCCUAAUUCAUCUGAGCAUUUUACAUUUUAAAAAUCAGGGUAAUUUAGUCUCAUUCAAUUCAGUGACUCUUUACGACCAUCACUGUAUCUUCUAAUAAGGACACCUUCUGCUACCAAAUCCAAAGCUACAACCACUCACUUCCCAUUCAUUAUCCCUUCGCCUCGUCUCGAGAAGGCAAAGGAAGACAAGCAACUGCUCUUGCUGUUCACGACACACGAGUCACAAUAUUCGCUUCUGAUCUGGGACCACAGGCCGAACGGAGUGUCAAUAAUAAUGGCAGACUCGUAAAGCAUUUAAAGAAGUUUAAGGCCUUGGGUAGAAAAAUGAACAUGGAAACUGAGUGCACAACAUCUGGACAAGAGAAACAAAUUUAAAAAGCCAUUAAAAAUGGCAGGAGAAUCAGACACGGGCAGAUUCCUCCAGAAAGACAACCGAAGGACGAGACCAGAACACACUGUGCUCCAUGCUUUGUCUUACAAUGAAUGUUACUUUAUUAUAAAUUGUUGGAGGCCUUAAUAAAUAAGAUAGUCACAACAACC